AAGCCUGACAUCUUCUUGACCAUGACUUGCAAUCCUAAAUGGGAAGAGAUAUCGAAUGAGUUGUUGCCUGGUCAGACGGUGCAAGACCGACCUGAUAUUGUGGCUCGCGUGUUCUAUGGCAAACUAGAGGCUAUGAAAGACAUUUUGUUCAAGAAGCAUAUUCUGGGUGUUGUUGUUGCUUAUGUUUACGUAGUCGAGUUCCAAAAAAGGGGCCUU
rnacentral:rRNA from 1 species